GGAGGACCGACUGAUGAACGGAUGACCUGCUUGCUGGGCUUCCCAUUACUAAUUCUUGAGACAUGAGGACCACUGACUGGUGAGGGAAUUGCCCUAUGAUGGAUGAACCUGCCUCAAGCUGCCAUAAGCUGGGAGGACCGACGGUUGACUGACUCUGCCUGCUUGGUUGGCCAUUACCGAUUCUUGAGAUGAUGAGGACCGCCAAGCUUGGAUGAGACUGGAAAAUUACGAAGCUGCUCUAUCUGGACAAGGAUGCCCUCAUCAGACACUUUCCAAUUUGUGGAAUAUUGGAUCCAAAGUCAGACUGCAUAUUAUUUUGCAUUAUUAUAAAACAUAAAAACGACGAAAAUACGAAUUCUUACGUCAAAGUUACCGCUAUAAUUGGAAGAAAUAAUAGCUUAAAUCACUGUUACUUGUUAACUUUACUGAGAUACCUAUACCUGAAAUAUUUGACAACGAGUACGACGAAAAUUGAAGAAAAAAAGUCAAAUGUGUGUAAAAUACAUUGCUGUGAAAAUCAAAUCAUGAGCGGAUUUUCUUCUCACAGAAAUGCUUCUCCGCUUCCAACAAGUGGCUGAGAAAAUGAUGAAAUUUACGCCGAAAAUAACUAAAAUCAGUGUUGUUUUUACCUUUACUGCGAUACCUACCCGAAAUAUUUGAUUAAACGCGUGUGACGAAACGUGGAAACAAAAAUCAAAUCAGUCCAAAUUAAAUUACAACGAAAAUCACAUAGUACGUGGAGUUUCUUCUUGCAGCACGGCACUCUGUUUCUACAGGCAGCUACAGGAAAAUUACGAAAAUUACACCGAAAAUCUACGCGGCAUAUAAGUGAAGUGACGAAACAUAGUUUACACGG